UAGGGAAUCCUCCGCAAUGGACGAAAGUCUGACGGAGCAACGCCGCGUGAGUGAUGAAGGCUUUCGGGUCGUAAAACUCUGUUGUUAGAGAAGAACAAGUACGAGAGUAACUGCUCGCACCUUGACGGUACCUAACCAGAAAGCCCCGGCUAACUACGUG
rnacentral:rRNA from 1 species